rnacentral:rRNA from 1 species
UCCUACGGGAGGCAGCAGUGAGGAAUACUGGUCAAUGGGCGCGAGCCUGAACCAGCCAAGUAGCGUGCGGGAAGACUGCCCUAUGGGUUGUAAACCGCUUUUGCCGGGGAAUAAAGUGGCGCACGUGUGCGUUUUUGCAUGUACCCGGAGAAUAAGGACCGGCUAAUUCCGUGCCAGCAGCCGCGGUAAUACGGAAGGUCCGGGCGUUAUCCGGAUUUAUUGGGUUUAAAGGGAGCGCAGGCCGUUGAUUAAGCGUGACGUGAAAUGCCGCGGCUCAACCGUGGAAGUGCGUCGCGAACUGGUUGACUUGAGUGCGAACGACGUGGGCGGAAUUCGUGGUGUAGCGGUGAAAUGCUUAGAUAUCACGAAGAACCCCGAUUGCGAAGGCAGCCCACGAGGCCGCAACUGACGCUAAAGCUCGAAGGUGCGGGUAUCGAACAGGAUUAGAUACCCUGGUAGUCC